rnacentral:rRNA from 1 species
AUUGAACGCUGGCGGCGUGCCUAACACAUGCAAGUCGAGCGGUAACAGGUGUAGCAAUACAUGCUGACGAGCGGCGAACGGGUGAGUAAUGCUUCGGAAUCUACCUUAUGGUGGGGAAUAACUAGCCGAAAGGUUAGCUAAUACCGCAUACGUCCUACGGGAGAACGCAGGGGAUCGCAAGACCUUGCGCCAAAAGAUGCGCCGAAGUCGGAUUAGCUAGUUGGUUGGGUAACGGCCUACCAAGGCGACGAUCCGUAGCUGGUCUGAGAGGACGACCAGCCACACUGGGACUGAGACACGGCCCAGACUCCUACGGGAGGCAGCAGUGGGGAAUAUUGGACAAUGGGGGAAACCCUGAUCCAGCGACGCCGCGUGUGUGAAGAAGGCCUGCGGGUUGUAAAGCACUUUUAGUGGGGAUGAAAUGUGCAGGGUUAAUACCUCUGCAUUUUGACCUAACCCACAGAAAAAGCACCGGCUAACUCUGUGCCAGCCGCCGCCGUAA